CAGUUCUGAGACGCUGGGAGACAGUACCACCAACCUAUACUGCAUAAAAAGCAAAGCUGAGAAAGAAAGAGAGAGAGAGAAGCACAGAACAGAAACAACAUUGUCCGCAAAAUAGAGAGAUCUAAGCAACAUGGGGUGACUCUGAAAAAUGGAAUAAAAAGAAAAAGUCAAGAAAAACAGUUGAAGUUGUUCAUUGCCGUUGCUGCUGAUUGGAACCGAAUGUCCUACGUUUGAAUUUUGUUUUUAUUUGCACUGGUUCUGGUGUUUCAGAUGCUUGUUGAUUCAUUCAGUCUUGGAACUUGAGAGUUUAACUGAACUGCAGCAAGAGAGACUAGUAUUUCAUCAGCUGUGUAACAGUGUUAGCGUGGUCCUGGUUACUCUUCCUUGAACUUUU